rnacentral:misc_RNA from 1 species
CGCACAUUGCGCCCCUUGGUAUUCCAUGGGGCAUGCCUGUUCGAGCGUCAUUUGUACCCUCAAGCUUUGCUUGGUGUUGGGUGUUGUCUAGCAAUUAGACUCGCCUCAAAUGAAUUGGCAGCCAGUGUAUUGGUCUUGAGCGCAGCACAAUUUGCACUCGAGUCAGCUAUUACUGGCACCCAAAAGCCUUUUAUAAUCGCUUGACCUCGGAUCAGGUAGGGAUACCCGCUGAACUUAA